AAACAUUCAUGAAGCCCAUUGAUGGAUUAUAUAAAUUAAUCAUUUUGUAAGCGAUAUGCUCUCUUUCAUUUUUUUCUUCUUUUUGGCAACCAUUACCCGAUAGUUGGGAUAAUAAAUGUUACACGAUUUUGUAAAUUAUUCCACAUCAAUAAGCAAUAUAGCAUAUAUAUGUUACUUUUUGCAUUAAAGACUGAUUUAGUGCACGAAGCAAUAUUAUGUAUAGGUAGGUACUAUAUGUAGUAGGAAGUUAUUGUUGGCUCCAAGAGGGAUCCCUCAUAUUUCAACCACGCUCUGAUUCCAUAUACCAAAAGGAAAGAAGUAUGUUUUUCCCUAAUAAAUCAAAAUUAUUCCCUCUAUGAUUAUAUAGGUAUGUAUUAUUAUGUACAUAGCACAAGUUGAGAUUUUUCUGCUAGAUUCCACACGUAGUAUAUGAUUUUUGGACCUCUGCUAAAUGCCAAAGUCGCUCGCACUAUGUUUAUUCCAUAUAUAUUCGCACAAGACCGGGUAAUAAUUCUCCUCAAUAUUUCUCUUUUAGCCUUUGGAAUCAUUGCGGAAACAGCAAACCCCUUUUCCUCAUUCAAAAAUUUAUUGAACAAGAAGUUAUAUGAAGAGGGAGAAAAAGCACCCAUUUAUGAAUUGAUUUGUAUGCAUUUCAUCCUCUUUUAAGCUUUUUUUUUUUGGAUCGCUUGAGGCGCGCAAAAAUUCAAAAUGCUCUGUGCCUUCAAAUAAAUGGCUCUAUCGCAUCCAAAUGUGCGCGCCUUUUAUCGCCGACCAUUUUCUAUUUGCUUGAUUUAUCGUCCAAACAGUGAAAAUGUACAUGGUGGUAGUUCUCCUUUUCUCUCUCUGUAUCGAUUACAGAAAAUGCAUUCGCAGGCAUUAUAAACUUUAUGAUUGCACAUUUUGUUGUUUAUGUGACUUUGGCGGCACUCUUGCAUUGAGAUUAUAGCACACAUAACGCAUAUAACACAUCAUACAAGCACAGAAAUCUAUACCUUUUUGUGAAUAUAUUGCAAAGGAAAAAGUAAUAUACCUGUGUGGUGAAAUUAAAAGAAUUAAUUGAAAAACUCCCACCCUCAAAGAACUUUUUUUUCAUUUUUUUUUUUCUAUAUAGAAUUAAUAUUUUUUUCAAUUGUUUUGUUCCAAAUUACCAUUUUAUCGCAUUCAAUGAGAAAUUGUUUGCAAAUUAGAACGUUCUCACUUUCGCAAUUUACUGAAGAGAUUCAUUCAUUUAAUCCUUUACACACUCCAUACACCGUUAAUAAAGCAAAAAAAUUUGGCUCAAAAAAGGUUCUUUUACAUUGAUUGCAACCUAUUACAUAGUUUUUCUUUUUGUAAAGAAGAUGCUAUAUAAAGUUAAGAAAAUACGAGCACAACCUUCAUGAUGGAAAAUUGUGUAGUUUCAAUGUCAAAGUCAAUUAAAAGUGUGUUUGCAAAUUCCAAUCGUUCACGGAUAAAACAAUGAGAAGCAUUUUCGAAAACUUCAUACAUAGCAAAUACACAUAAAUAUGGUAUUUAAUUUAAAACUGUGAGCACACCCACAUCUUUUGCCUCAAGUAUGUAUUUUUUUAUCAUCGGCACAUGUUUCUCGCGUUUUUUCCUCAUUUUUAAUUUAUUUGCAACCAUAUCGACUCUUCCAGCUACAUAAGCGCACGGUGACCUCACGUGAAUGACUACGAUGAGAACAGAUGGAGUUUGUCAUUUUGGUGUAAAUUAAAUAAUUCGUCAUGGUUUCUUGCAUUCAUGGAUCGCGCUUUUUUUCUCACCACAAACAAUUAAUUCUUUCAUUCUUUACCGCUACGUUUUUCCAUUCUUUCUUGCUCUCCUUUAUUUUCUCCUUCAAGAAGAAAUGGCAGUAUUAUAUACAUUUCAUCAUGCAGAAAAUGUGUGUGUAGGGAUAAAAAAAAAUAUGAGAUAAAAUUAAAUGUUUUAGAGGAGAAGUUUAUUGCAUUGCAAACAGAUGAGAUAAUUUUCUGCUGGAUGUUUUUGAGUUAAAUGUGAGAUGUGUAACACCCAGUGCGUCAUUAAAAGUAAAUAAAUUUAAUUGAAAGAUGAAAAAUGAUAAAUUCGCGUUGACGCUUUUUUGUCUCUGGCAAGAAAGGAGUUAAUUUUUUUUAACAAUAUUUUGGUUGAAAAGUACAAGUAAUUGUAUUAUCCAAAGUAAUGUAAAAUACACAAAAUAUAUAAAAAAUUAUUCCAUUAAAAAAUGUCACAAAAUACAUUAAAUUGUUUUUAAAUUACAUUAAGUGAUUGUUUUGCAAUAUCAUUUUACGUCAUAGUGGGGGGGGGGGGAAUUUAAUUGGCAGGAAAAGCGUUACUGUACGCUAGAAAAAAAUUAUGAAACUCAAAAGAGCAGAUAGAAUUGUGCCAGUGUAAUUGAAUAAAUGUUCCACUUUGUGCAAUUAUAUUGGGGAAUUGUGGACACUCGCGUGAAUGGGAAUUAAUGAAAGGCAGAGAACAGCAGUGUUCGUAAAUCAAUUGAUUGGGAGGUUCGUGGGAUGCCCUUAAUUCAAUAUUGUUUGUCACACGUCUCAUCAAGUGUUAUUGGCAACCAAUUGGAAAAUUUAUGGGGGAAGAAGCAACAAAAAAAAUAUUAUGUAUGUACUGUACAUAUGUGAUGAUGGUAUAUUCUUUCACUCUUGAAUUUCAUUAUAAUUAUAUUAUUAAAAUGAAAUUGUAUUGAAUCCUUACAAGGCACUUUUCAUUUUUUAAUUAAAGAAAUUCCCAAAAAAGGAGAUUUAAUUUUAGUAUAACAGCUUGUAUAGUUUAAAAUACGAGUGAAUGAAUAUAUAUAGAAAAUCAGCGGUGAGAAUCUUUUAAGACGAUUAAAUGAUCAUACCCCAGCCAAGUUAAGACUUUUUUUUCGAGCAAAAGAAGAAAAAUCCAUUGAAUGUUAAUUGGCAAUAAAUUGAGCGGUGUCUCGAUGGAGUUAGAAAAGCCGCGCAGAGGUACUAAAGCGAAGAAUUGUGAGUUAAUUGCUUCGAAUUUAAGUCGCUUUAUGAAUCCCCAAAUGAUGACCAAAGAAGAGAGAUUAACAAAAAAAAAUCACACAUCUUGAAAAUUUUUUAUGUUAAAAAAAAGCGACAACCAAUAUUUUUUUUAUUUGCAAAUUAUGUCUUUCGAUGUCAACUUAACAUUGCAAACUAAUUUAAUUUUAUAGGACACAAAAUACCUAUGAAAAGUCACUCGUCAUUUAAACCAAUUUUCCUUGCAUAAGAUAGACUUCACGGGUAUGUAGAAAGAUUUUUCAAAGCUCAUCCCACCAACCCCCUUCCCCCUGCGCCCCCUUAAAAGGCUAAGAGAGGCGUGCGAUUGACAGUGAUUUAUUCCAACCACACUCUCUUGAACGAAAUAAUUGAUUGUGCGCAGGGAAUUAAGUCGGGAGCUUUUCCAAAGCUUCACGAGAAAAACACCCCGUCAAUCUUCCAAGUUUUUUUUUAUUCUCCGCUACUAACUCUCUUUUCCCACUGAUGGCAGCAAUUGCAUUGGAUUUCGACAUAUUGGCGUGAGGAGCGUCUCACUUCUCGUAAUCCAUUUAUACGUUGCACAUCGCGUACGCAUUGUCAUUGCAAAAAGGGCGGCUAAUUAAUCGAAUAUUAAUAAUUGUAUUGAAUUGUUAAAAUUUACAGAAUAUUUUUAAAAAAUUUAGGUCCUAUUUUCAAGGAUUCUUGGUUGGAGAAUAGGACCAAUUGUUUAUUAAAGUCUGUGAAAUACGAACCAGAAAAAUUUUAUUCAAAAGUCAUUAAAUCUUCUACCUAAAUUCCAAUAUUUAUCCGCCCCUCAUAGCGUGUGAAAAAGCGUAUAAACCAAUAUAUUUCAAUCAAGAGACACCUCGGGAUUAUUCUACAAAACACAUUUGCCCCCUAGCCUAUCUAAAGAACUGUAUAUUCUUUGUGAAUGCCAAUUGGCGAAGUUUUGCGGAAAAUGUUAAUUUUUUUUGAGACAGAAAAAAAGUGAACCCUUAUUGCGACGCCCAAUUACGCAUUCUCCAAAAUGGAGAAGGGCCAAUUUUUUUCUCCGUGUGUAAGAAAAAAGAAAACUUUUCUUUGGACUUCACGUGAUAGCGUGUGAUUGAAAUUAAUUUGUCACGGCAAUUCAAGAAAAAAUUGGUCAAUAUACCGUGGGAUUAAUUUGUUUUUGCGGUUAAUUCUCUGACUAGAGAUGGUCAGUUUUUUAUUUGUCUUCUUUGCGACAUCACUAUACCUAUAAUUUGACGAUGUUAUUUUUGAGUUUGCUAAUUCAAUGACAAAUGCUAAUUGGUUUCUCAUUAACUCUCCAUAUAAUGAAAUUAAAUCAAAAAUUGAAUUUUACAAACAAGCUUCAGCUUUGUUUUUCUUCUUCUAUAUGUAGUGAAUUUGACGGUGAUUGUUUUCCUAAUUUUAGAAAAUUUACAAAUUUGAUUUUGAGGCGGGAGAGAGGGUUAUUUUUGCCUGCCAAAAGCGAUUUAAUCAAAAAUAUUUUAUUUAUACGCAAAAUCUCACUGGUCAAGGUUGUUCUUCUUCAAGAUGUGCGAGGGGAUGAAGUCCGCACCACGAAGGAUAAAUGGGAAUUUUCACCUUUUCCACGCAUACACAGCAGAGUGUAUGUUUGUGCCAGAAAAACACCACGAAAUGUAAACAAACAUAGUGUUUAUGGUGUAAAUAAAAAUAGACGCUCUACUGCUGAAAAUGAAGUCAAUUCUUCAGGAGAAAUUCCAUCCAAUUUCGUCUAGCGAAUUUCUGUGACAAUUAUGCCUCCUGUGUAGAAUCUUGAUGGAAAUAGCUUCCAUUAUAUUAUAAAAGUGGUUUUUCCCAUAUUAUACAUAAAUACAUAUGUAUGUGCUUCUCAUAAUAGUAUAUAACAAUUGAUUGAGUGCUACAAACAAGAUUUCCCAGAGGAAGUUCUUUGAGGUUUUUCAUUCUGCGACAAGAAAUUAAGGGGUGAGUGAUUAAAGUAUUUUUAGUACAAUAAAUAUUUUAGCUUAAUGGUAUAUCAAAAAUUUUUAGAUGGAAUGCUAGAAAUUUCUUGGUACGAUUGGAAAAUAUUAUUCAAUGUUACUAAUGAGUUCUUAAGUGGUGUUGAUGGGAAUGUAAACAAGAAUUUAUCAUUGAUUAUUUUUUUCCAUUUCAACCGAUUAAGUUCGGGCCUUCAUGACGACACGCAAUUUCCAACAUAUUUCUAUUUCUCUGCACUUUGCACUUGCUGGAGAGAAACUGAGCUGAAUAAUAUAGGCUAAAAUUAAUGAGGAACCUUCACAUUUGGGUGGCCCAAAUUCCUUCCAAGAAAAAUUACAUGUAAUCUCCGAGAGUGAUGACGGAUAAAUUUUGUCGUCGUGCAACAUCGGAAGCAUACCCCAAAGCCAGACACAUAUCCCAUGUAGACUAAUUUAUUAUUUUCUGAUGAUGCCGAUAAACGCGUGGAAUUACAUUUUUAAUCGGUUUAUCGUGUCGCCCUCCAUAUAUUACCAUUUUUAGCAUCUCUUUAGUGUUGAGAUAAAUCAUGAGAUAGAGGCAAAACAAUGACAGUUUAAUCAGUAGGUAUUAUGCAGUGUAUGAUUUUUACCAAAGAUUCCAUCAGCAUACAAAUUCGCAUCGUCUUGAUGUAGUUUGUUUUCUAUCUUUGCUUCUUCUUUUAAUCAACAGUCAUCGCAUAAAUUUGAUUGCAUUUUUAUUAAUACAGAUUUUGGGGUUUCAGAUAAAUGGAAAUUGUGAUGCACAUGCAAGGAAUAUCAAUGAGAUUAAAUGGACUGAAUUGAUGAUGAUUAUUUUGUGUGAACCAAUAGACAUUUUGGCAGAAAAUCAUUGCUUGUGGAUUUUUCAUUAAUGGGAAAAGCUCGGGAAAAACACUAUAGAAUGAUAAAGUAAAACAAGUAUACGCUAGAAAAUAACAAAUCAUAAG